rnacentral:lncRNA from 1 species
UUGUUUUGUUUAAUUUUCUUUUUUUAAAAUAGAAAUUGGAGAUAAUAAUGCCUGACUUUUUUAAUGGUGAGAUUUAUGGAUGAUCACAUUCAAUUUUAAAAAUAAAAGAAGGAGGGAAGGAGGGAUAAAAGAGGGAGGGAAGGAGAGACAGACAGACAGACAGACAGACAAACAGACAGACAGACAAUCUUCCCCAGGAGAGUGAAUCAUUUUCCUGGCUCCGUUUCUAGAAUCCCAGUUUCUAGUCUUGUAAGAGUCCUGAACAAAAGAAAAAGAAUAAAAGAAAAACAAAACAAAACAAAACACCCAAAAUACAAAUGGGUCAUUUGAAACACACAUGUAUUUCCUUGCAUGUCACUAAAGUGAGCAUUCCUUGUGACAAUUGUGGUGCUCUUGGAACCUAAUGACAACUCAGUAAGCCUGUCCUUGUACCUACAUCAAAGAUAGACAGCCACAGCUUUCUUCUCAGCAUGACCCUCUUAAGGCUGGACUCAUUGUUGAUGGAUAUUAUCAUUUUUAAUGUCAGUAAAUAAUGUGUUGUCAGAUAAAUGACCUGUUUCCUUGCUGCCAUUAGAGGGAACUUGAGUGGUGGAGAAAUCUCAGCCAGACCAAGUGUUUCUGACUCUGUGGGAUGGGAGAGGCUUUCUUAAUCCCACUUUCCCAAGCAGUUGGGUUCAAUUAUAACCGUAGUCCUGGUGAAUCGAUGAAAGUAUAUGCAUUCUCCCAUGAUGAUGUUCUACUGGGUGAAUGGAAAGUAAAUAUUUUUUUUUCUAAAAACUUGAAAACUAUGCUAGUACUUACAAAGCAUUUCUGGGCAAGUAAAAUGGAGAUGAGCUCCCUGAACGUAUUUUAAAUUUGUCUUAGACAAAUGCUCUCUUUCUAAACAGAUUUACUUAUUUUUAUGUCCAUUGGUGUUCUGCCUGUAUGUCAGUGCAAGGGUGACAGAUCCUCUGGAACUGGAGUUAUGACUUUUGUGAGCUGCCAUGUGGUUGCUGGGAAUUGAACUCUAGUCCUCUAGAAGAACAGUCAGUGCUCUUAACUGCUGAACCAUCUUUCCAGCCCCCAUUUAUUUUUAUUUUUAAAAUAUAUAUAUAUAUAUACAUAUAUAUAUAUUUGCUUCUAUGUUGUGAUACAGGUUGUUGUGAGUAACCAUAUUGUUGCUGGGAAUUGAAACCAGGACCUCUGCUACGUUUUUCCAUUGCAAGCAAAUAUAUCUGAGCGUGUGUCCUUAAACACAUAGCUGGAGUUUCCUAGGCCCAUUCAUGGACUCUUAAACAACUUCAAUUAAAAUCUUCUCAAGCAAUCAUUUAAUGCAAAUGUCCAAUUUAUUCUUCUGGUAAGCAGUUAUGUCCGUGAGAGCUCAAUAUUGGAGAAUAAGCUGUAGGUCAUGGAAGC